rnacentral:rRNA from 1 species
UACGGAGGGGGCUAGCGUUGUUCGGAAUUACUGGGCGUAAAGGGCGCGUAGGCGGCCAAGUGUGUCAGGGGUGAAAUCCCAGGGCUUAACCCUGGAACUGCUUCUGAAACUGCUUGGCUAGAGUGAGUGAGAGGCGGACGGAAUUCCGAGUGUAGCAGUGAAAUGCGUAGAUAUUCGGAGGAACAUCGGUGGCGAAGGCGGUUCGCUGGUACUCAACUGACGCUGAGGCGCGAAAGCGUGGGGAGCAAACAGG